AUGAACGCUAGCGGCGUGGAUACUGGCAUGCAAGUCAAGGGGCCCGCAAGGGCACCGGCGAACGGGUUAGUAACACGUAGAUACAAACCGCGAACACAGGCAUAACUCAUCGAAAGAUGAGCUAAUUCCUGAUAGUCCCGCAAGGGUAAAGGCGCAAGCCGGUUCGUGAUUGGUCUGCGGCCUAUCAGCUAGUUGGUGAGGUAAUGGCCCACCAAGGCUAUGACGGGUAGGGGGCAUGAGAGUGUGUUCCCCAACAAUGGAACUGCGACACGGUCCAUACUCCUACGGGAGGCAGCAGUCGAGAAUAUUCGACAAUGGGCGAAAGCCUGAUCGAGCGACGCCGCGUGUAUGAUGAAGCUCUUAGGAGCGUAAAGUACUUUUUUUAGGGAAGAAUCCGCAAGGAUGACGGUACCUGAAGAAUAAGGGGAUGCUAAUCACGU
rnacentral:rRNA from 1 species